UCUGGAAACUNUCUGACUUGAGUGCAGAAGGGGAGAGUGGAAUUCCAUGUGUAGCGGUGAAAUGCGUAGAUAUAUGGAGGANCACCAGUGGCGAAAGCGGCUCUCUGGUCUGUCACUGACGCUGAGGCUCGAAAGCGUGGGUAGCGAACAGGAUUAGAUACCCUGGUAGUNCACGCCGUAAACGAUGAGUGCUAGGUGUUAGGCCCUUUCCGGGGCUUAGUGCCGGAGCUAACGCAAUAAGCANUCCGCCUGGGGAGUACGACCGCAAGGUUGAAACUCAAAGGAAUUGACGGGGGCCCGCACAAGCGGUGGAGCAUGUGGUUUAAUUCGAAGCAACGCGAAGAACCUUACCAGGUCUUGACAUCCCGAUGCUAUUCUUAGAGAUAGGAAGUUACUUCGGUACAUCGGAGACAGGUGGUGCAUGGUUGUCGUCAGCUCGUGUCGUGAGAUGUUGGGUUAAGUCCCGCAACGAGCGCAACCCUUAUUGUUAGUUGCCAUCAUUAAGUUGGGCACUCUAGCGAGACUGCCGGUAAUAAACCGGAGGAAGGUGGGGAUGAUGUCAAAUCAUCAUGCCCCUUAUGACCUGGGCUACACACGUGCUACAAUGGUCGGUACAACGAGUUGCGAGCCGGUGACGGCAAGCUAAUCUCUGAAAGCCGAUCUCAGUUCGGAUUGGAGGCUGCAACUCGCCUCCAUGAAGUCGGAAUCGCUAGUAAUCGCGGAUCAGCACGCCGCGGUGAAUACGUUCCCGGGCCUUGUACACACCGCCCGUCACACCACGAGAGUUUGUAACACCCGAANUC
rnacentral:rRNA from 1 species